UAGGGAAUCUUCGGCAAUGGGGGCAACCCUGACCGAGCAACGCCGCGUGAGUGAAGAAGGUUUUCGGAUCGUAAAGCUCUGUUGUAAGUCAAGAACGAGUGUGAGAGUGGAAAGUUCACACUGUGACGGUAGCUUACCAGAAAGGGACGGCUAACUACGUGCCAGCAGCCGCGGUAAUACGUAGGUCCCGAGCGUCGUCCGGAUUUAUUGGGCGUAAAGCGAGCGCAGGCGGUUUGAUAAGUCUGAAGUUAAAGGCUGUGGCUCAACCAUAGUUCGCUUUGGAAACUGUCAAACUUGAGUGCAGAAGGGGAGAGUGGAAUUCCAUGUGUAGCGGUGAAAUGCGUAGAUAUAUGGAGGAACACCGGUGGCGAAAGCGGCUCUCUGGUCUGUAACUGACGCUGAGGCUCGAAAGCGUGGGGAGCGAACAGGAUUAGAUACCCUGGUAGUCCACGCCGUAACGAUGAGUGCUAGGUGUUGGAUCCUUUCCGGGAUUCAGUGCCGCAGCUAACGCAUUAAGCACUCCGCCUGGGGAGUACGACCGCAAGGUU
rnacentral:rRNA from 1 species